GACGAACGCUGGCGGCGUGCUUAACACAUGCAAGUCGAGCGGUAAGGCCCUUUCGGGGGUACACGAGCGGCGAACGGGUGAGUAACACGUGGGUGACCUGCCCUCAGCUCUGGGAUAAGCCUGGGAAACCGGGUCUAAUACCGGAUAUGACCUCAUGACGCAUGUUGUGGGGUGGAAAGCCUUGUGCGGCUGAGGAUGGGCCCGCGGCCUAUCAGCUUGUUGGUGGGGUGAGGCCUACCAAGGCGACGACGGGUAGCCGGCCUGAGAGGGCGACCGGCCACACUGGGACUGAGACACGGCCCAGACUCCUACGGGAGGCAGCAGUGGGGAAUCUUGCGCAAUGGGUGAAAGCCUGACGCAGCGACGCCGCGUGAGGGAUGACGGCCU
rnacentral:rRNA from 1 species